rnacentral:rRNA from 1 species
CGGGUAUGUUAAUAGCAUACUCAUUUGACGUUAGCUGCAGAAGAAGCACCGGCUAACUCCGUGCCAGCAGCCGCGGUAAUACGGAGGGUGCGAGCGUUUAAUCGGAAUUACUGGGCGUAAAGCGCAUGCAGGUGGUUUGUUAAGUCAGAUGUGAAAGCCCGGGGCUCAACCUCGGAAUUGCAUUUGAAACUGGCAAACUAGAGUACUGUAGAGGGGGUAGAAUUUCAGGUGUAGCGGUGAAAUAGCGUAGAGAUCUGAAGGAAUACCGGUGGCGAAGGCGGCCCCCUCGGACAGAUACUGACACUCAGAUGCGAAAGCGUGGGGAGCAAACAGGAUUAGAUACCCUGGUAG